UACGGAGGAUGCGAGCGUUAUCCGGAUUUAUUGGGUUUAAAGGGUGCGUAGGUGGUUUGUUAAGUCAGCGGUGAAAGCGUGUAGCUCAACUAUACCGAGCCGUUGAAACUGGCGAACUUGAGUACAAACGAGGUAGGCGGAAUGUGACGUGUAGCGGUGAAAUGCUUAGAUAUGUCACAGAACCCCGAUUGCGAAGGCAGCUUACCAGCAUGCGACUGACACUGAGGCACGAAAGCGUGGGUAUCAAACA
rnacentral:rRNA from 1 species